AAAUGAAGAGCCCAAGGACCUUUGCAACCCAACACCAGAAUGAUUACAAGAACGCGGCGUGUUCUGAACUCUGCUGGCCACAGACCUCACCUGCUGCCCGUGCUCCUCCUCCAGGGAGAAGGAACUUCUGUGAACAGCACUGUAGGAACUGCAGCUCUGACAGCAUCCAACAUAGCACGGCAUGUCUUUACUGUGCCAGUAAUUACCAAAAUGGAAAAAGAGAUUUUUCUGUCCCAAACCCUCAUGAUUUUACUUAUCUGAUUUUAAUUGUUUUGAAUAGGAACAAAGGGAAAUUAUAUCCUUAGGUGGGAACGUCUUCCAAUAGGAUUUCUCUAGACUGACAGCCAUAGCCAAGUUGCACUCAGAAGCAGAUAGGAAUCUGGGGUAGCUUUUGCAGAGCCUGUAUAAUACUUUUCUCUGAAGUGAAAUAUAUAAUAUAAUAUUUUUCUCUGUGAAAAGCAGCAUGUGCCUACUGGAGCUUCUGACAUCUCCUGUCACACAGGUGAUUACUGACUGGUGGUCUGAUGCUUCUGCCAUGUAAACCUGAUGUCAUCAAAGCUGGUGGACCCAGAGAUGAACCAAAGCUCCUGAGCCUGCCUGCCCUCUUGUCCCACUGCACGUGAGGCCCCUGAGCUGCCCAUGCUGUUGUGCCCAGUGCAAAGGCUGCAGGGAAAACACGGCCUGCCAGUGAGACUUGUUUAGGAGGAAGCUGUGGAGCCCAGCUCUGUGGAUGCUCUGCUGCACAACCAAGCCCACAUUGCAGAGUCUUCCUGAGUAUCUUCCAGGGUCUGAGCUCCACUGAGUGUUUGUCUUGGGUCUGUUCUGUUCAGCUCCUUCCCUGCACCUUCAGAGGCAAGCCUCUUCCCCAAAAUCCACUCUGUUUGGCAUUCCUCCUGCAGCCAAAGAGAGCUCCUUCAGCAGUGGGAUCUGCCCAAGAGGCAAUGG